rnacentral:rRNA from 1 species
AACUCCGUGCCAGCAGCCGCGGUAAUACGGAGGAUCCGAGCGUUAUCCGGAUUUAUUGGGUUUAAAGGGAGCGUAGAUGGAUGUUUAAGUCAGUUGUGAAAGUUUGCGGCUCAACCGUAAAAUUGCAGUUGAUACUGGAUAUCUUGAGUGCAGUUGAGGCAGGCGGAAUUCGUGGUGUAGCGGUGAAAUGCUUAGAUAUCACGAAGAACUCCGAUUGCGAAGGCAGCCUGCUAAGCUGCAACUGACAUUGAGGCUCGAAAGUGUGGGUAUCAAACAGGAUUAGAUACCCUGGUAGUCCACACGGUAAACGAUGAAUACUCGCUGUUUGCGAUAUACAGCAAGCGGCCAAGCGAAAGCGUUAAGUAUUCCACCUGGGGAGUACGCCGGCAACGGUGAAACUCAAAGGAAUUGACGGGGGCCCGCACAAGCGGAGGAACAUGUGGUUUAAUUCGAUGAUACGCGAGGAACCUUACCCGGGCUUAAAUUGCAGAUGAAUUACGGUGAAAGCCGUAAGCCGCAAGGCAUCUGUGAAGGUGCUGCAUGGUUGUCGUCAGCUCGUGCCGUGAGGUGUCGGCUUAAGUGCCAUAACGAGCGCAACCCUUGUUGUCAGUUACUAACAGGUUCCGCUGAGGACUCUGACAAGACUGCCAUCGUAAGAUGUGAGGAAGGUGGGGAUGACGUCAAAUCAGCACGGCCCUUACGUCCGGGGCUACACACGUGUUACAAUGGGGGGUACAGAGGGCCGCUACCACGCGAGUGGAUGCCAAUCCCCAAAACCUCUCUCAGUUCGGACUGGAGUCUGCAACCCGACUCCACGAAGCUGGAUUCGCUAGUAAUCGCGCAUCAGCCACGGCGCGGUGAAUACGUUCCCGGGCCUUGUACACACCGCCCGUCAAGCCAUGGGAGCCGGGGGUACCUGAAGUGCGUAACCGCGAGGAGCGCCCUAGGGUAAAACUGGUGACUGGGGCUAAGUCGUAACAAGGUAGCCGUACCGGAAGGUGCGGCUG